UUUAUGGGGUGACUGCGUACCUUUUGUAUAAUGGGUCAGCGACUUAUAUUUUGUAGCAAGGUUAACCGAAUAGGGGAGCCGUAGGGAAACCGAGUCUUAACUGGGCGUCAAGUUGCAAGGUAUAGACCCGAAACCCGGUGAUCUAGCCAUGGGCAGGUUGAAGGUUGGGUAACACUAACUGGAGGACCGAACCGACUAAUGUUGAAAAAUUAGCGGAUGACUUGUGGCUGGGGGUGAAAGGCCAAUCAAACCGGGAGAUAGCUGGUUCUCCCCGAAAGCUAUUUAGGUAGCGCCUCGUGAACUCAUCUUCGGGGGUAGAGCACUGUUUCGACUAGGGGGUCAUCCCGACUUACCAACUCGAUGCAAACUACGAAUACCGAAGAAUGUUAUCACGGGAGACACACGGCGGGUGCUAACGUCCGUCGUGAAGAGGGAAACAACCCAGACCGCCAGCUAAGGUCCCAAAGUCAUAGUUAAGUGGGAAACGAUGUGGGAAGGCAUAGACAGCCAGGAUGUUGGCUUAGAAGCAGCCAUCAUUUAAAGAAAGCGUAAUAGCUCACUGGUCGAGUCGGCCUGCGCGGAAGAUGUAACGGGGCUAAACUAUGCACCGAAGCUGCGGCAGCGACACUUAGGUGUUGUUGGGUAGGGGAGCGUUCUGUAAGCCUGUGAAGGUGACCUGUGAGGGUUGCUGGAGGUAUCAGAAGUGCGAAUGCUGACAUAAGUAACGAUAAAGCGGGUGAAAAACCCGCUCGCCGGAAGACCAAGGGUUCCUGUCCAACGUUAAUCGGGGCAGGGUGAGUCGACCCCUAAGGCGAGGCCGAAAGGCGUAGUCGAUGGGAAACAGGUUAAUAUUCCUGUACUCGGUGUUACUGCGAAGGGGGGACGGAGAAGGCUAGGCUAUCCGGGCGACGGUUGUCCCGGUUUAAGCGUGUAGGGGGUGUGACUUGGUAAAUCCGGUCGCAUACCAACCCUGAGGCGUGAUGACGAGUCACUACGGUGAUGAAGUAGUUGAUGCCAAGCUUCCAGGAAAAGCCUCUAAGCUCUAGGUAACAUUGAAUCGUACCCCAAACCGACACAGGUGGUCAGGUAGAGAAUACCAAGGCGCUUGAGAGAACUCGGGUGAAGGAACUAGGCAAAAUGGUGCCGUAACUUCGGGAGAAGGCACGCUGGCGCGUAGGUGAAGUCCCUUGCGGAUGGAGCUGAAGCCAGUCGAAGAUACCAGCUGGCUGCAACUGUUUAAUAAAAACACAGCACUGUGCAAACACGAAAGUGGACGUAUACGGUGUGACGCCUGCCCGGUGCUGGAAGGUUAAUUGAUGGGGUCAGCCGCAAGGCGAAGCUCUUGAUCGAAGCCCCAGUAAACGGCGGCCGUAACUAUAACGGUCCUAAGGUAGCGAAAUUCCUUGUCGGGUAAGUUCCGACCUGCACGAAUGGCGUAAUGAUGGCCAGGCUGUCUCCACCCGAGACUCAGUGAAAUUGAACUCGCUGUGAAGAUGCAGUGUACCCGCGGCAAGACGGAAAGACCCCGUGAACCUUUACUAUAGCUUGACACUGAACAUUGAGCCUUGAUGUGUAGGAUAGGUGGGAGGCUUUGAAG
rnacentral:rRNA from 1 species